rnacentral:rRNA from 1 species
GAUGAACGCUGGCGGCGUGCCUAAUACAUGCAAGUCGAGCGAACAGACGAGGAGCUUGCUCCUCUGACGUUAGCGGCGGACGGGUGAGUAACACGUGGAUAACCUACCUAUAAGACUGGGAUAACUUCGGGAAACCGGAGCAAAUCCCGGAUAAUAUAUUGAACCGCAUGGGUCAAUAGUGAAAGACGGUUUUGCUGUCACGUAUAGAUGGAUCCGCGCCGCAUUAGCUAGUUGGUAAGGUAACGGCUUACCAAGGCGACGAUGCGUAGCCGACCUGAGAGGGUGAUCGGCCACACUGGAACUGAGACACGGUCCAUGCUCCUACGGGAGGCAGCAGUAGGGAAUCUUCCGCAGUGGGCGAAAGCCUGACGGAGCAACGCCGCGUGAGUGAUGACGGUCUUCGGAUCGUAAAACUCUGUUAUUAGGGAAGAGCAAAUGUGUAAGUAACUAUGCACGUCUUGACGGUACCUAAUCAGAAAGCCCCGGCUAACUACGUG